CCCACUCCAGUGUUCUUGCCUGGAGAAUCCCAGGGAUGGAGGAGCCCGGUGGGCUUCCGUCUAUGGGGUCGCUCAGAGUCGGACACGACUGAAGCGACUUAGCAGCAGCAACUAGGCCUCAAAGUUUUGCCAGGAAGCCUCACUUCCAAGAAUCAGAGGCACAGGAGCACAGCCAUAACCCUCACAGCCACCCCAGCUCCCGCAGGUUGGGGUGGGAGGUGAGGCACUGAUGCCAACAAAACCACUCCCCACCACUGGCUCCCACCAAAGCUGCUGGACAAGCCCACAUGAUCAAGCUCAGAUGCAAAGGUCGUGGGGGGCACCCGUGAGACCACUCCCAGGAAAUGAUGGAGGACAGCAAAGUGGUCACCUGGAUGCAGGUCGCUCAGCUCAACCACCAUCUCUCCCAAGAGUCCAAUCUCUGACUUUGAAGACUAGAUGAAAUGGAAGAUGUGAACGUGACUGGCAUCUUGAGCUAUCUCUUCCUCUUCAGGGCCUCUUUGCACAAUAAGGGUUACCUUUGCUGUCCGAGGCCUCAGUCAUCUUUCCCAGUCAGCUCUCCAAAUCAAGCUCUGCAGUCACAAUGGUGAGACACAGGGAGACAUAGGAAGAAGGAACUCGGACAG